GGACUACCCGGGUUUCUAAUCCUGUUUGCUACCCACGCUUUCGUGCCUCAGCGUCAGAAAUCGUCCAGAAAGCCGUUUACACCACCGGUGUUCCUCCUGAUAUCUACGCAUUUCACCGCUACACCAGGAAUUCCACUUUCCUCUCCGACCCUCUAGUCCCGCAGUCUAUAGCGCACCCUCCCAGUUAAGCCGGGAGAUUUCACACCAUACUUACAGGACCGCCUACGCACCCUUUACGCCCAGUAACUCCGAACAACGCUUGCUGCCUACGUAUUACCGCGGCUGCUGGCAC
rnacentral:rRNA from 1 species